rnacentral:rRNA from 1 species
UACGUAGGUGGCAAGCGUUGUCCGGAGUUAUUGGGCGUAAAGCGCGCGUAGGCGGCUAUGUAAGUCUGAUGUUAAAGCCCGGGGCUCAACCUCGGUUCGCAUUGGAAACUGUGUAACUUGAGUGCAGAAGAGGAAAGUGGUAUUCCACGUGUAGCGGUGAAAUGCGUAGAUAUGUGGAGGAACACCAGUGGCGAAGGCGACUUUCUGGUCUGUAACUGACGCUGAGGCGCGAAAGCGUGGGGAGCAAACAGG